CAGUUCGGAUUGUAGUCUGCAACUCGACUACAUGAAGCUGGAAUCGCUAGUAAUCGCGAAUCAGAAUGUCGCGGUGAAUACGUUCCCGGGUCUUGUACACACCGCCCGUCACACCAUGGGAGUCAGUAACGCCCGAAGCCGGUGACCCAACCAAACGGAGGGAGCCGUCGAAGGUGGGACCGAUAACUGGGGUGAAGUCGUAACAAGGUACC
rnacentral:rRNA from 1 species